AGCAGCCGCGGUAAUUCCAGCUCCAAUAGCGUAUAUUAAAGUUGUUGCAGUUAAAAAGCUCGUAGUUGAAUUUCGGGGUCAGUAGGUUGGUCAUGCCACUGGUAUGUACUGAUCUUACUGAUUCCUCCUUCCUGAUGAACCGUAAUGCCAUUAAUUUGGUGUUGCGGGGAGACUGGACUGUUACUUUGAAAAAAUUAGAGUGUUUAAAGCAGGCUAACGCUUGAAUACAUUAGCAUGGAAUAAUGAAAUAGGACGCUCGAUCCUAUUUUGUUGGUUUCUAGGAUUGACGUAAUGAUUAAUAGGGAUAGUUGGGGGCAUUAGUAUUCAAUUGUCAGAGGUGAAAUUCUUGGAUUUAUUGAAGACUAACUACUGCGAAAGCAUUUGCCAAGGAUGUUUUCAUUAAUCAAGAACGAAAGUUAGGGGAUCGAAGACGAUCAGAUACCGUCGUAG
rnacentral:rRNA from 1 species